GUUACUCUGCAGUUUUCUACCUGGAUUUAAGAGCUUUCAGCUCAACUUCUCUUUUGUCCAGCUGACUUAAAAGCUGUACUUUAUCUCUGUCAGCUGCUUUUUUCUUGGAGCGUAGCGGAUCUAAUUUAGCUUCCGUUUUUGCAGUCGGUGGUCAUUUUUAACUGUAGUUUUUCCAGCUCUGUGUGCAACACACAUUUCUCCAAAGCUCCAUUUUUCUUUCUAUUGCCAGCAGUUUUGCAAGUCUCUGAAGUCUUUGUUCCAUUAGAAAAAUCUAGAUCAGGCUUGAGUAUUGAAGCUAUCAUUAUGGAGUCUGGUCGAUGCAAACAAAAGUGGGAGCAGAAUUCCCUGCCACAGUGUUCUCCAGCUUUGCCACUUUUACUCGUUAC